rnacentral:tRNA from 1 species
ACCUGGGUGGCUCAGUUGGUUAAGCAUCUGACUUCAGCUCAGGUCAUGAUCUCAUAGUUUGUGAGUUCAAGCCCCACAUCAGGUU